UGGGGAAUAUUGCACAAUGGGCGCAAGCCUGAUGCAGCCAUGCCGCGUGUAUGAAGAAGGCCUUCGGGUUGUAAAGUACUUUCAGUCGGGAGGAAGGUGUCAAGGUUAAUAACCUUGGCAAUUGACGUUACCGACAGAAGAAGCACCGGCUAACUCCGUGCCAGCAGCCGCGGUAAUACGGAGGGUGCAAGCGUUAAUCGGAAUUACUGGGCGUAAAGCGAACGCAGGCGGUUGAUUGAGUCAGAUGUGAAAUCCCCGGGCUUAACCCGGGAAUUGCAUCUGAUACUGGUCAGCUUGAGUCUCGUAGAGGGGGGUAGAAUUCCAGGUGUAGCGGUGAAAUGCGUAGGGAUCUGGAGGAAUACCGGUGGCGGAGGCGGCCACCUGGACGAAGACUGACGCUUAGGUGCGAAAGCGUGGGGAGCAAACAAG
rnacentral:rRNA from 1 species